rnacentral:piRNA from 1 species
UUUAGUGGUCACUUUGGUGUA